rnacentral:rRNA from 1 species
AUUGAACGCUGGCGGCAUGCCUAACACAUGCAAGUCGAACGAGUGGCGGACGGGUGAGUAAUGUCUGGGAAACUGCCUGAUGGAGGGGGAUAACUACUGGAAACGGUAGCUAAUACCGCAUACCAUCAGAUGUGCCCAGGUGGGAUUAGCUAGUUGUUGGGGUAACGGCUCACCAAGGCGACGAUCCCUAGCUGGUCUGAGAGGAUGACCAGCCACACUGGAACUGAGACACGGUCCAGACUCCUACGGGAGGCAGCAGUGGGGAAUAUUGCACAAUGGGCGCAAGCCUGAUGCAGCCACGCCGCGUGUAUGAAGAAGGUCUUCGGGUUGUAAAGUACUUUCAGCGGGGAGGCGUUACCCACAGAAGAAGCACCGGCUAACUCCGUGCCAGCAGCCGCGGUAAUUC